CUUCCGUAUCUUCACCCACAUCACUGGCGACAUAGCCAAUCACCAGUCGCCAAGUGCCAAAGUCUGCUGUUUCUCAACCAUGGGCCCACCACAACCAGCACCACCGGCGGCACCCAAAUCCUCCGUUCCGCUCAUCGGCCACCUGAUAAGCCUGGACACGACCCUCUCCCGGCAGCUCCACUCCCUGACCCAACCCGUUCUCCCAUCCUCUCUCCUACUCCUCCUCGAGCUCUCCGCCGACUUCCGCCUCUUCUUCCCGAUCUCCCUCUCUCUCCUCCUAUCCCCCUCUCUCCUCCGCCCCUUCCUUCCCCCUCUCCUCCUCGGUCUUCUCCUCGAUCUCGCCCUCAUCGGCCUCGUCAAGCUUCUCUUUCGCCGAUCCCGCCCUCCCCACAACCACACCCACAGCAUGAACGUCGCCGUUUCUGCCGACCACUUCUCAUUCCCCAGCGGCCACGCCUCCCGCGUCUGUUUCGUGGCUUCCCUCGCUCACCUCUCAGCUGCUGCCAUUCGCCAGGGUCAUCACGAGGCUAGUAAGACCGUGAAUUUCGUUCUCCUCGUUGUUUGGGUAUGGGCGGUUUUGACCUCAGUGUCUAGGGUUUUGCUCGGCCGGCAUUUCGUUUCCGAUGUCUUCGUUGGUGCGUGUUUGGGUGUUCUUGAAGCUGUCUUUUCUUUCCGCUUCCUCAAGUUUUAAAGCAUUUCAGGUACUGUAAUCUCAAAUUGUUGGGGGAAAGAUUGGUACCUUUUUUUUUUUUUUUUUUAAAAAAUUUAUCCUUUUUGUGAAAUUGCUAUCCAUAUCAUCGGAGGCGAUGCAAUGCAGUGAUGCAGGACCUCUUCUUAUUUUGUGUAUUUGUCCUUAAGAAAAAAGGAAGUAUUCAGAAGUGGCAGGCAUGUAUGUAUGAACUCAAUCGGUAUCCACUGUUGGAUUAGCUUCCUUGUCUUAAAGGAGGAUCCACCUUUCUUAUAAUAGCUUUAGUAGGAGCAGCAGUCAAUCACUGAAAGCUAGCCUAGUUAGAUUAAACAUGCUGCAUGCGUCGAAGCUAGGAUUGGCGAUGAACAAACUCGUCUGGAAUGCAGAAUAGGUUUGCUUUUAUUUUAAGUUGGUCCAGUCUCUUGCGAGCAAACAGAACUUUGGCAGUGAACCAUGGGAUGGGCCACAACGGAGGAGAAUGCCUUAGCGUACAGCUUGAUGUCUUGGUUUUUUGAACAACGAUUUGUUAAAUUGUAUAUCUGGACUCGUCAGCGUUGGUUUGUUAACACUUUAGCUCAUCUACUUGCUCAAACUUAAGUGAACCAUAACUUGUUGCUA